GAUGAAGAACGUAGCGAAAUGCGAUAAGUAGUGUGAAUUGCAGAAUUCAGUGAAUCAUCGAAUCUUUGAACGCACAUUGCGCCCUUUGGUAUUCCAAAGGGCAUGCCUGUUCGAGCGUCAUUUGUACCCUCAAGCUUUGCUUGGUGUUGGGCGUCUUGUCUCUAGCUUUGCUGGAGACUCGCCUUAAAGUAAUUGGCAGCCGGCCUACUGGUUUCGGAGCGCAGCACAAGUCGCACUCUCUAUCAGCAAAGGUCUAGCAUCCACUAAGCCUUUUUUUCAACUUUUGACCUCGGAUCAGGUAGGGAUACCUGCUGAACUUAAGCAUAUCAAUAAGCGGAGGA
rnacentral:misc_RNA from 1 species